rnacentral:rRNA from 4 species
UAUGACUCUCGGCAAUGGAUAUCUUGGCUCUUGCAUCGAUGAAGAGCGCAGCGAAAUGCGAUACGUGGUGUGAAUUGCAGAAUUCCGUGAACCAUCGAAUUUUUGAACGCAAGUUGCGCCCGAGGCCAAUUGGCUAAGGGCACGUCCGCCUGGGCGUCAAGC